AAAUGUCCCAGGGGGUGUCUUAAAACCGUGAGCUACAAAAAAAGGUGUAGGCGGCCGCGAAAAUGGUGUUCAAUUUACGUUAUUGCUUAUAAACAAAUCCGUACACCCUGUCACAAUUGCUGUAAAGGAUGGUCUAGAAAGCGCGGAAGAUGUACAGACAUAAACGAGUGCACAGCAGACCCAUGCGGGGCACAGGGGACAUGCACCAACACACCAGGAUCCUACACAUGUGCCUGCAGUCCAGGGUUCGUGUUCAACGGAAUUACAUGCAUUGACAUAGACGAGUGCUCAGCUGACCCAUGCGGGGCACAGGGGACAUGCACCAACAACAUAGGAUCCUACACAUGUGCCUGCAGUCCAGGGUUCGUGUUCAACGGAAU